AUUAAAAUUGAAACCACAAAAAAAUUAGGAUUAAUUUUAUACAGGUCUCUAUAAAUAUAAUAAAUGGCAAAUAUAUUUUAUGAAGUUCAACUUUCAUAUGUUAUCCCUGUAAAAGUUCUGAUGUUAUCAAAUAUGUCCCCACCGUUAAAAUCCGUUAGAAAAAUUUAAUUAACCAUAGAUUAAAUACUUAAAACCUUGGUUAGCUUUUGAUAUUGUUAUCCUCUUAUAUGGUUAGAGUUACUAUACUCUCAUGAGUAUAGAACUCUUUGUACUCAUAAGUUUUCGAUCGUUGGAUGAAGAAAUGUACGGUUAGGAUGAUAGUGGUCCCCGAUUAGUUUAAUAGUGGUCUAUUAGGGUUAAGUGGGUGGUUAGGUGAAUAAUAUGAUAGUGAGCUCGAAUAUAAUUUUUUUUUUUGAAAAAAUAAAAAAAACUGCAGAAGUAGCAGUACGGCAGAGUUAUUAAAAUUGAAACCACACAAAAAUUAGGAUUAGUUUUAUACAGGUCUCUAUAAAUAUAACAAAUGGCAAAUAUAUAUGUUAUCCCUGUAAAAGUCCUAAUGUCAUCAAAUAUGUCCCCACCGUUAAAAUCCGUUAGAAAAAUUUAAUUAACCAUAGAUUAAAUACUUAAAACCUUGGUUAGCUUUUGAUAUUGUUAUCCUCUUAUAUGGUUAGAGUUACUAUACUCUCAUGAGUAUAGAACUCUUUGUACUCAUAAGUUUUCGAUCGUUGGAUGAAGAAAUGUACGGUUAGGAUGAUAGUGGUCCCCGAUUAGUUUAAUAGUGGUCUAUUAGGGUUAAGUGGGUGGUUAGGUGAAUAAUAUGAUAGUGAGCUCGAAUAUAAUUUUUUUUUUUGAAAAAAUAAAAAAAACUGCAGAAGUAGCAGUACGGCAGAGUUAUUAAAAUUGAAACCACACAAAAAUUAGGAUUAGUUUUAUACAGGUCUCUAUAAAUAUAACAAAUGGCAAAUAUAUAUGUUAUCCCUGUAAAAGUCCUAAUGUCAUCAAAUAUGUCCCCACCAUUAAAAUCCGUUAGAAAAAUUUAAUUAACCAUAGAUUAAAUACUUAAAACCUUGGUUAGCUUUUGAUAUUGUUAUCCUCUUAUAUGGUUAGAGUUAGUAUACUCUUGUGAGUAUAGAACUCUUUGCACUUAUAAGUUUUCGACCGUUGGAUGGAAAAAUGUGCGGCUAAGAUGAUAGUGAUCCCCGAUUAGUUUAAUAGUGGUCCAUUAAGGUUAAGUGGGUGGUUGGUUGAAUAGUAUGAUCUAACGGACGGAAAUGGUCAAAAGAGUAGAUCUAACGACAGAAAACUUAUGAGUAUAAAGAUGCCUAUAUUUAUAAGAGUAUAGUAGUCGGACGCAAUAUUAUACUGUUAUGGCUUUUGAAGAGACAUUUGUGAUGACACAAUUAAAAAUAUAAACAAUUCUCUAACGGUUCUUUAACGAUAACAAAUUAGAGGAACAUAUUUAAAAACAUCUGAACUUUUGCAGGGGCAACAUAUGAGAGCGCUUUUGGUUUGAGUUAUCUAAUUUUAGAGAGUAUUUCGAUAUAUCCAGAUAUCUUGAAUUUCUAAAAGAGAUUACUACUAAUGCUGCAUUAGCGCGUUUAGUUUAAUGCAAUAAUAUAAUAAUUAAAUUGCAAUAUUUAUAUC
rnacentral:lncRNA from 1 species